GGGGCGCACUAGGCACGGAAGACAAGUGGAUGCGUGGGAGGUCGGGUCCACCUAGGGACCCUGCCGCUCUGAAAUGGGAGCUCCUGGCUACCACCGGGAAGUCCCAACCCAGGUGUAUUGGGAAGGGGGAUGCGGAGGGAGGAUCCGCAGGUUCCCCACCCAAAUCACUCAGAACCCGGGCCAGCUGUGGCUUGCAGGUUGCUCCUAAAAGAGCGACUCUUGACUCUGGGGUAACAUCUGGGUGGGAAAGGGCGGCUCCAGGUCAGAGUGGUGAAGGAUUUCCUCCUCCCUCAUCCUUAGCCAAUGUCACCGAGCCUGCAUCUGCGGAGAUUAAGUGGGUGAAGCCAGGAAGGGGCCCUGACUCCGCAGCUGGUGGCCAAACCCAGAGAGUAGGCCCGCAGCCGUCCGCCAUUGUCCUGUCCCCGCACCCCUCUGGACCAAGCUUGGCUACUCCCGGUCUAUCCCCGACACAGAGGGUGUGGAUUUGCUGCGGGGAGCCCUUGACCUCUGGGAGGAGGAGGCAGCGCGAGCCAAAACUCAUGGGAAAGGCCUUGCGAGAAGACGCGGUGUCAGGAUGCGUUUGUGCCUGGGUUGGGGGUGUGGCUUCUUUGACAGAAACCAUCCCCUGUCCAGGAGCGAAUGCAGAAACCGAAGGGAAUACCGCCUCUUUUUCUCUUCUCCUCUCCCUCCUUUUCUUUCCACCGCUCUUAACAGCGCGCCUACCAGAUGCCAGCCCAUGAGAGGCCCCAGGAGUGCAAAGGUGAACAAAACGGGGUAGACAAGCUAGAAGACCCCAGGCCUGGGCCUGCAAGCUGAGGGGCACAGCCAUGGUCAAAAAUACCUGGAGUGGGCUGUGGAGGCCAGAGCGGUGUUUGAAAUGUCAGACCUCUCUGUCUUGAGGCCCUGGCUACACUGUGCUAGGCUGGACCUGUCUUCAGGAUCACCUGGGUCACCAGUGUCCUCCAAGCCAGCCCAGAACUGGCACCUGGGAGCCGGGAGAACACGGUAGGAAGAGACCAUGGAUGCACAGCGAGCCCUGAGUGAGAAGUUAACUUGGCUUCACCGGCCUGCUUCUGUGGUCCCAGGCUUUCUCUUGGAAGCCAAAAAUACCCCCAAAUCAUGGUUUGCUUUUUAAGUUUUUCUCUAACAGCAUUUACAUAAAUUCCCAAUGGAAAUUUCCCCCUUUGAAGGUUGAGGGGUAUUUCUCUUUCAGUGUUUCCAAAAGUCCUGUUAAAUGAAGUCAGGGGAUUUACAAGCAGAAGUGACCGCCCCCCACCCCCAGGACACGGUUGGGUUUGUCAGCCUUCCUCUCCUCCCAGCUGGGCAGGGUACUGGGUGGCAUUAAAGAAAGACCUCAGCGGGCAGUGACAGGGCCCUGAUGGAUGGGGCCAUGGCCUUCCAGCCGUAGUCCUGGACUGGAGUGGACAGCAUGCUGUUCUGGAGUCAGCAGCCUCUAGGUCCUCAUGCCUGGUCACUUAGCAACAAGACUCAAGCUCUAUCUUCAGAGUUCACCACUUCCUCCUUUCCUUCCUCAGAAAUUUGGGUCCAAAUAGCAUGGAAUGUUUUAACCUUUAAAGGUUAACUUCUGAAACAGCCUGCUCCAAGUAAGAAUUAGCCUUUUGUGAGUGAUCAGGCUCCAAACCCAAGGUGAUUAUUGUCUUUUUAAAAAAUGCACCCCUUUGACCGCAAAGACAAGAGAUACUCAGCAUUGUAAAAGAACACACAACUAGGCAUUUAGAUUUUUUGGUAAGGUCAGUAUCAUACAUCGUAUGUACAAAAUUGACAUAAGAAGGAGAAAGUAGCUUUUCAAAACUCCUAACACACUCAGGAUAACUCUUAAAUCAAUAACGUUUUGCAAAAUUGUAUUUUAUCCGGGAGGGUUCAAUUUCAAUGAACUGUUUUAAUUUAUGAGUUUUGAAGUAUUAUAUGUAUGGCAAUUAACCAAUUUGUUGAUUUAGUUGAAUAAUUUGUCUUUGAGCCAUUUAAAAAAAAAAAAAAAGAUUCCCUACUUUAGCUAUAUUUCUCGAAUAGGCCACCCGGCUUUAACAACCUGCAACAGGAAGAUCUUUCAAAAUUACAAGCAGUGUAUUUAAAGACUGAAGACAGAAUGUGCCUGUAAUGCUCCCCCUACUCCAAACUGUGUCUGGAAGGUGGGGGUGGGGGGAGGUGAGACCUAAUGGUGGAAGGAACUCAAACCCUCCCCUUUGCUCAUCGAGUAAGUAAUUAGGGUACCCCCUCCCAGGGUAGAUAGAAUGGCAGAAUGAUUUUAAACAUUUCACAUUGUCUGGAAUUUUGCACACAGUUACCAUUCACUUUCAUUAUUAUUAAAAUUAAAA
ensembl:lncRNA